GUCACAUGAACUUUAUUUCAGGCAUGGAAAUACAUUCCAGCCUUCUGCAUCCUUGAGCCCCACAUCACUCCCCUCAGGAGUGAUGGUGAUUUGUUAAGACCUCUAUCCUAAAACCUUCACCUCCCCAUGCUCUACAAGUGGAGUAACUUCAGAAGUAAACAGCCCUCCCUCCUAACCCAUUGGCCAGAUCUCACAGCUUUGUAUACUUUGGGCAGAGGCUGGUCUCUCAGCCACCGCAAGACUGUGAGCCUCCCAGGGCCUGGCCUCCACCUGUCUCUCCAGACCUCUCAUCCCUGGAAUCCUCAGCCACUGGCCAGUCUGGUAACGGGACACCUCUACCUUGCUGGUUGCUCAGAACCCUUGGAGUUUACUUCUUUAUGUUCUCUGUAACUCUAAAUGAUCCAUUGUUUAGCUGUAAAUGUUCUUAAGCAUUGCAUACUAUAUAUGUAUUCUGUGACUUGCCUUUUCUCUUCAUGUUAGCUUUGUGAGAUUAAUCCAUUCUGGCAUGUUAGUCAUACCACCACUGCAUGUAACACAUCACUGCUCUAUGGUAUUAUAUUUUACGAAUGUAUCACAAUUUAUCCAUUUCCCUGUUGGAGAAUAUGUGUGUUACUUCUUUUUCUCCCCAUUACAAACAAUACCACCAAAGACUUUAUUAAAGAUUUUCUUUAUUUAUUUGACAGAGAGACACAGCGAGAGAGGGAACACAAGCAGGGGGAGUGGGAGAGGGAGAAGCAGGCUUCCCGCAGAGCAGGGAGCCCAACAUGGGGCUUGAUCCCAGGACCCUGGGAUCAUGACCUGAGCUGAAGGCUUAACGCUUAACAACUGAGCCACCCAGGCGCCCUGACUUUUAUUUUUUUUUAUUCUUUAUAACUAAGCUCUACACCCAGCAUGGGUCUUCAGCUCACGACCCUGAGAUCAAGACUCACAUGCUCUACUGAUUGAGCCAGCCAAACGCCCCACCACCAAGGACUUUUGUGUACAUGAAUCCUUAUACAUGCAUGUCAGUUUGAAUAGUCUCCUGUCCUUACAUAUCCAGUUUGUCAGCAAAUCAUGCUGGUGUUACCUUAAAAAUAACACCAAAAUCGGAUUGCAUCUCACACCUCCACUCUGGUAGGCACUCUCAUCAGCUCACCUACAUGACUGCAACAAAGCCUCCUAACUGGUCUCCUGGCUUCCACCCUUACCCUGUUACGGUCUUAUAUCCACACAGCAGCCAGAAGUUUCCCUCCACGCCAUGACUUGGGACUUGUCUCUCUGCUGCUCAGUAUCCUGCAAUGGUUCCCAUUUCACUGAGAGUGAAAGCCAAAGUCUUCACAAGGUCCUCCCAGGUCUAGCUCUGUUGCCUUUGAACUCCUCUCCUACUCUCCACUCUGCCUCAGCCACAUAGCAUGAAGCCAGGAGCUGGUGCGCACUCUCCUGUCAGUGUUCAGGGAGUAAAGGUUUUGCUUGCCGGCUGGGGUCACAACCACAUGCCUUGGUCUGUAGGGUAGACUGAAAUUUGUCAACAGAGCCCGUGGAUGUCAUUUAGGUGGUGAGGAAAUCCUAGAGUGGAGAAAUAACUGUUUUGGACAUCGUUUGUGGAACUGUAACUUUAUACAAUCCAUUUGGAAAACAGUUUGGCAAUACCUAUGAAGUCUGAUGCACAUUCUCUUCAAUGCAGUGUUUACGCUUCUGGAAUACACCCUAAAUACACAUGGAUUAAUCUCACAAACAAUGUGAAGGGGAAAAAAGGCAAGUUAAAAAAGAAUACAUAUGUAGUAUGUAAUGUAUUUUUUAAAAGAUUUUUUUUAAAGAUUUUUACUUAGAGCAGGAGAGGGGGGAGGAUCAGAGGGAGAAGCAGACUCCCUGCUGAGCAGGGAGACUGACACGGAACUCGAUCCUGGGACUCUGAGAUCAUGACCUGAGCCGAGCCAAAGGCAGUCGCUCAACCAACUGAGCCACCCAGGUGCCCAAAUGUAGUAUGUAAUGUUUAAUAAUAUUUACUUAUAUACUUAUACUAUAUAGCUCAACUAUUGUUUAGAGUUAAAUAUAAUAUAGUAAAAGAAAUGCAUGGGAUUGCUAAAUGCUAAAUUCAAGCUAGUAAUUACCUGGGCUGUGACCAGGGGGUGAGUAGAGAGAGUGGUGCAGUCAAGGUGGUAUACAUGGGGGCUCCAUAGGAGCUCACUGUAUAAUUUUUCAUAUUUUUUUAUGUCUGAACUAUUUCUUAACUUAAAAAUAUGGUUUGGGACCUGUGAAUUCUGAAGGGCUGAGCAAAGGCAAAAGCUAAGUCACUCCCACAGAGACACCUGCAGACUCUGAAGCUCAGACAUAGAGCUCCCUUGGAAGACAUCCAAAAUGAGCCAGAUUCCAAAACCCUGGGCAUCCACCCCAACAGGAGCAAGUCAGCAGACGCAGCAGCAGGAAAUUUCCCUGUGGACCCUUUGACCUUAUCAAAUGCCUUGCUGAGACCCAAACAUUCUGAGACACUGAUCUUCCUCUGAUCUCUGUUUUUAAAAUUGUGGCCAAGGAAAUGCCCGUGUGUUUGGCCUGACAUCCUCAGAGGACCCACGAUAGUUCCUGGAUGUUGCUCCCACCUCCAAUAGCAAGGGCAUCUCCACAUCUCCAGGGAUUUAAAAAUAACAGAACCAAGAUCGGGAGAGUGCACAAGCAGAGGGAGCAGCAGAGGGAGAGAGAGAGAGAGAAGCAGGCCCACGGUUGAGCAGGGAACCCAACACGGCGCUCAAUCCCAGGACCCCAAGAUCAUGACCUGAGCGGAAGGCGGAUGCUUAACUGACUGAGCCACCCAGGUUGGUCUGGGUGAGAGGCUUCCCAUCUGCAUUUCACACACCUGCCCCCUGCCUCCCAGAGGACUCCAUCUUAGCAAUAUGAAACAGGGCAGAUUUUUAAAUAUCUCACAGGGCUCCCCCU